rnacentral:rRNA from 1 species
CUGUGAGCUCGAUGAGUAGGGCGGGACACGUGGUAUCCUGUCUGAAUAUGGGGGGACCAUCCUCCAAGGCUAAAUACUCCUGACUGACCGAUAGUGAACCAGUACCGUGAGGGAAAGGCGAAAAGAACCCCGGCGAGGGGAGUGAAAAAGAACCUGAAACCGUGUACGUACAAGCAGUGGGAGCACGCUUAGGCGUGUGACUGCGUACCUUUUGUAUAAUGGGUCAGCGACUUAUAUUCUGUAGCAAGGUUAACCGAAUAGGGGAGCCGAAGGGAAACCGAGUCUUAACUGGGCGUUAAGUUGCAGGGUAUAGACCCGAAACCCGGUGAUCUAGCCAUGGGCAGGUUGAAGGUUGGGUAACACUAACUGGAGGACCGAACCGACUAAUGUUGAAAAAUUAGCGGAUGACUUGUGGCUGGGGGUGAAAGGCCAAUCAAACCGGGAGAUAGCUGGUUCUCCCCGAAAGCU